rnacentral:rRNA from 1 species
GACGAACGCUGGCGGCGUGCUUAACACAUGCAAGUCGAACGAAGAGCCAUUGAAUCUUUCUGCUAUCCGUCUUGGUGACGGACGGGUGAGUCACGCGUAACCAGCCUUCCCUUCUGAGGUAAACUACAGUUACAAACGACUGCUAAUACCGCAUACUAUCUAAUCUCGGCAUCGAUUGUAAAUUUAAGGUGGCCGGUACAGGUAAGCUAUCACUUCAGGAUGUGAGUGGGGCUGUUGAGCUAGUUGGCGGGGUAGGGUCCCAUGAAGGCGAGGAUCAGUAGCCGGGCUGAGAGGAUGAGCGGCCGGAUUGGGACGGAGACACGGCCCAGACGGCUAGGGGAGGCAGCAGUGGGGAAUCUUGCGGAAUCGACGAAAGUCUGACGGCGCAACGCCGAGUGAGGGAUGAGGGCCUUCGGGUUGUAAAGCUCUGUUAACCGGGAGGAAAGGGCUUCUUGCGAAUAGUGAGAAGGAUUGACGGUUACGGAAUAGAAAGCAACGGCUAACUACGUG